GAUGAAGAACGUAGCGAAAUGCGAUAAGUAGUGUGAAUUGCAGAAUUCAGUGAAUCAUCGAAUCUUUGAACGCACAUUGCGCCCCUUGGUAUUCCAUGGGGCAUGCCUGUUCGAGCGUCAUUUGUACCUUCAAGCUCUGCUUGGUGUUGGGUGUUUGUCUCGCCUCUGCGUGUAGACUCGCCUCAAAACAAUUGGCAGCCGGCGUAUUGAUUUCGGAGCGCAGUACAUCUCGCGCUUUGCACUCAUAACGACGACGUCCAAAAGUACAUUUUUACACUCUUGACCUCGGAUCAGGUAGGGAUACCCGCUAAACUUAAGCAUAUCAAUAAGCGGAGGA
rnacentral:misc_RNA from 1 species